AAUGCAACUGUUUACUGGAAUAAUAUUUUGAGCGUUUUUAUCUUACAUAAAUCAUGACCCAGCCCUUCUAUUAAAACGUGAGAGUAAACAAUGCCACUUUGAUAUGAUACGUUCUAGUUCUUUUCCCAUAAUAAACAGUCAAAAGAAGGUUUUAAAAAAAAAUAAAGAAAUCGUAAGCUCAUGCAAUGUCUUUUGCCUUAUAAAGAAGGAUGUAGGCACUGUCAGCUUCACCACCACCAUCGAGAGUUUCAAUUUUUUCAGCAGGAACGAUAGAUACCUUUGCGUCAUUGAACCUGAACCAUUCAGCACGAUUAUUGCUAUUUCUUAUCCAAGCUUGGUAAUGGCCUGAAGAUGCACUAGCACCGGCGUGUGAUAAAACCCCGACUAAAUCAUAAAGGCCGGUGGGGUUGGCUCCUUCAUCAUCAGCGAGCUCAGGAUCUACUAGUGAUUGACACGUCGCAACCUGAGUAAGCCUGCACUCAGCUUCCGCCUCCUUCUCGUCCUCUGAAGGUUGAAUUUUGAUACGCUUAGCAGCUCGCUCAUGUUCUUCAUCAUUUUUUUCAAUUUCACGUAAUUUGUCACGUACGGGAAUCAAUUUUUGUGAAAGUUCAGGAGUACAAAACUCGACUGCAUCGAGCUCAAAUGGAAACUUAACCUUACGAAGAAUUUUAGCCUUUUUCCCUAUUGAUGCUUUCCAGUAAAAUCGAACAAAAUUAACAGUUAAAUAAUUGGGUAGUCGAGAAAUCCUUGAGAUUUUGCUAUACAUGGCAUCACGAUUUAAUACAUCACUAUGCUUAGAAAUUUUUUGCGUAAGCCCUUCAAGGAUCCCCUGGGUCAUAUAGCUUGUAUGCAUAGAGAUAUGGCAAGGUAAACUCAAAAACGUAUCAUGUGAAAUAGAGGGUUGCUCCUGUACUUCGUUUUCAUCACAUUUCAUAGUAGAUAAAAGUUUUCCAGCCAUAUUUUUUUGUACCCACUCAGAUGAUAGGGAGCGCUGUAAAACUGAUAGCAAGAAUGACCAGCAUUCCUCAGCAUCCUGUUGAGCAUAACCCCCAGUUUCUCUACUCAUUUCUGCAAACUGUGGAUACUCCAUGCGUAGACUUUGAAGAAACCUCAUUGGUGUAACCGGAGCAUUAGAUUGCAUAGAAUUUAAUAACGUCCGAUAUUCUGCCACCAAACCCCCAGAGGAAUUGAAUUGUGAGACAGCGUCUGAUAAUUCUGGAAUGGCACGCAGCAUUUGAACUGUAGAAUUCAUGUAACACGUGUUGCCUAAGUUUAUAAGCCCUGACGGAUAGCCAUCAUCUUCAGAUUCCUCUUGUUCUACUGACUCGACAGCUGGAAUGGGCAUAGCUGUUGGUAGUUCGCCUGCAGUACCCAUCAUUAAUAAAGUUGCAUUUGGUUUAAUACCAACUGAACCAAGCAAAACAUCGUCUUUAAGCUGGCCACCUUUGACAAUCACUUUCUGUCGUUCCGGAGGAACUUGUGUCAACGAGUAUAGUUGAUGUUUCAAGGUGCUUCCUGUUUCAUUAGGUUCAAUCUCUAAGUCGUACUUCUUCCCUUGCCAACGAAUUGCUAUG
rnacentral:lncRNA from 1 species